AGCCCAGAGCUCAACCUUAAUCUAAUCAUGAAUAACUUUGCAGCACACAAGGAAUUCGAACUCAGGAUGCAAAUCAUUGAAAGUUAUCAAUUCCAGCUCAUUCAAUAGCAUCUUAAUUCAACAAGAUGACAAUACAGUUCCACUGCAAGUUUUCUAGAUUGAAUCACAUAACAAAUUUCCAGUAUCCUAGCUAAAAAAUUCCUCAUCAACGGUUGUCAGGGAUUUUAAAUCCAAAAU
rnacentral:misc_RNA from 1 species